UACGUAGGUGGCGAGCGUUGUCCGGAAUUACUGGGUGUAAAGGGCGUGUAGGCGGGAAGACAAGUCAGAUGUGAAAUACCGUGGCUUAACCACGGGGCUGCAUCUGAAACUGUUUUUCUUGAGUGUCGGAGAGGAAAGUGGAAUUCCCAGUGUAGCGGUGAAAUGCGUAGAUAUUGGGAGGAACACCAGUGGCGAAGGCGACUUUCUGGACGAUAACUGACGCUGAGGCGCGAAAGCGUGGGGAGCAAACAGG
rnacentral:rRNA from 1 species